GUGAGAAAUACAUUUCUAUAAUUUACAAAUUAUCUGGUCUGAAGUAUUUUGUUUAUAGCAGCAUUUGUUUAUAGCAUUGUUUAUAGCAUUGUUAUAGCAGCAGGAAUGGACUAAGGCAGCAUCGUUUUUAUCCAGGACUAUUCUAACAACUUUCUUUCUUUCUUUUUUUUUUUUUUUGAGACAGAAUCUCACUUUGUCACCCAGGCUGGAGUGUAGUGGCGCGAUCUCAGCUCACUGUGAGCUCCGCCUCCCGGGUUCACGCCAUUCUCCUGUCUCAGCCUCCCGAGUAGCUGGGACUACAGGCACCCACCACCAUGCCCAGCUAAAUUUUUUGUAUUUUUAGUAGAGACGGGGUUUCACUGUGUUAGUCAGGAUGGUCUUGAUCUCCUAACCUCGUGAUCUGCCCGCCUUGGCCUCUCAAAGUGCUGGGAUUACAGGCUUGAGCCACUGGGCCCGGCCUAUUCUAAAAACUUUCUAACUGGGCUCCAGUCUUCAUUCUUCUCCCUGCAAACUCAUACUCCUCAGAUCUGAUCAUGUUACUCUCUGAUCAUGUGCUGUCCUGCUCAUAAAUCCUGGCCAGUACUCCUUUGCCUUGAGGUGAAACCCUGGCCGGUGCUCCUUGACCUUGAGCAUGACAUAAGAAGCCUUCAUGAGCUGGACUUGAGCUUUCCAGGCUCAGCUCUCCCUGAUGUCCUAUGGAUGCUCCAGCUGUCAUGAACUACUUGAGUCAUACUCUCUCCAAGCUCUGACUUUGUAUGAACUGUUCCCAGCCCUAACGUGCUCUGCAACCUCACACCUCUGACCAUCAGCUUCCCUGUGUGUCUCACUAAUUCCUCUUUGUCCUUGGCCAUGACGAGUCUCUCUUCUGUGCUUCCAAAGUACAUUGCAGGUGCUUCUCUUGUUACACUUAUCCUGAACCAUAAACAAUGCCUGUUUCUCUUACUAGAGUGUGAGCCACUUGAGGUUAGAGUGUGUGUCUCAUAUCUGCACCCCUAGCUACUAACACUGUAUAUGGUGCAUGAUUCAUUUUUCAUCCAUCCAUUCAACAAAUAUUUGAUUGUCUACUAGAGGCCAAGCACUCUUCCAGCAUGGGGCUAAGGAACUGUACAAGACAGGUGUACUAGUCAUUCUGCUGUUGUAUCUCUGCUCCAAAUCCCACCUUUUUUUUUUUUUUUUUUUGAGUUGGAGUCUCACUCUGUUGCCCAGGCUGGAGAGCAGUGGCACAGUCUCAGCUCACUGCAACCUCCACAUCCUGGAUUCAAGUGAUUCUCCUGCCUCAGCCUCCCAAGUAGCUGAGAUUGCAGGUGUCCACCACCACGCCCGACUAAUUUUUGUGUUUUUAGUAGAUUUUUACUACUCUCUUUUUAUUGGUUUGUUGUCUAUCUUCCCUACCUGGAAUUUAAGGUCCACAAGCCCAUGAAAUUUCAUCAUGUUGGCCAGGCUGGUCUUGAACUCCUGAUCUCAAGUGAUCUGCCUGCCUUGGCCUCCCAAAGCGCUGGGAUUACAUGUGUGAGCCACCGCGCCUGGCUCAAAUCCCACCUUUUAAUGCUCUCUUUGUGAUGCUGGGGCUGGUAUAUCCUUUGACAUGGGACUUCCGGUUUUCAUUGGCGGUGAUACUAGUUGGACACUGGAAGGCAGGCAGAGGAAGCAGGAAACUGAUCUUUCCUUUAUGCUUCCUCUAUGCUUGCCAGGGUUGCCCCAGCAAUGGCCCUUCUUCCUCGUGGCAGAAGCUGGCUCUAGUUUCUAGCUCCUUUCAACGCUCCCAGAACCAGCCUCCCUAUGCCACCUUAGAGUGCAGUUCCUGUUCUCCUGGCUGGACCCUGACUGAUGCCAUGGGGAAAGCCCUCGGGCUCGUGGACCUUAAAUUCCAGGUCCUGUUGUGCCCAACUCAUGAUUUAUCCAGGUCACACCAGUCUGGUCUGUCACAGUAAGAGGGCACCAUCACAUACACUAUAAUAUGAAUCAUGACCCCCGGAGUUGUGUGGAGUUUCUGCAUCUCUCCCUCCCCACUGUGGCUACCCUCAUCCAGCAACCAUCCUGUCUCUCACCGGUAUUACCGCAGCUGAGACCCAGGUCUUAAGGAAGCUGAGACCCAGGCCAGCAGGGGCCUCACAGCUUGGAAAAAGAGGAGGGUGUAAGACUCUGGAUGAAGCUGAGAGAUCCUUCCAUGCUUGGCUGAGAGACUACACAGACAUGAGCUUCAGGAGACUCCAAAGCCUCGGAUCCCCUUCUAAACUAGCACUGAAUUCUGAUUGGCUGUCUUUGCCUGCCUCAGUUUGUUCCUUUUACUGAUUGGCUAGGUUCUUCUGCCCAUGGCAGAGCCCUGCUCCAGCCACCGGAUCCUCCCACCUGCCACAGUGUCACCUGGGAUUGGCUGGGCUCUGAAAGGCCAGGCUGGCUUGACUCUUGCCAUCAUCAGAUUCUUCCUCAUUAAACAAAUGAAUCACAAUCCUAAUUAAUUUGAGCAACAGAAUUUAUGUAACUACUCCCAGCAGGAUGUCUGCUCUCAGUCAGCAGAGAGAUUACUUCCUCUCUCUGGGAAAUUCCAGCCUUGCUGGUCAAUAAGCCUUAAUGAUGACUGAAAUCUCCCAUCUGUCUCUGCUCAGGGCAGGUAACCCCUACUAAGCAGACACCCAGUUGGCUCGAGGCAGUACCCCGGGCACCGGCAGGACAAGGACAACGAUCUCCCAGCCUAGAUGUGUCCUGAGCCACAUGGAGCACACAGAUUACAGGAUCUGACUCCCAUUUGGGCCUUCCACCUCCGCUGGCCUAAGCAGUCAAGUGUCAGAGAGCACUGGACCUAACAGCUCCCUCACCAGAGCAGCUGUGAUUCCUUCUUCAUUUCCAGCAGGGAAGACCCAACAACUUUUAUAAUAUGGGAUUUCUUUUAUUCUCAUGAUAAUAAUGUUCAUUGUGGAAAAUAAAAAAAAAUGAUAAAAUAAAAAUCAGCCAGAAUUCCAACUUCUGGAGAUUUUGGUGUCUUUCUGCAAAGUUCCUAUGCACAUAGAUACUUUAUAAAAUUAUGAACAUACUGUACAUACAGUUUUGGAAUAUGCCUUUUUCCUUCUGUCAUGAAAAAGUCUUCAAAUGCCUUUUAACAGCUACACAAUAGUUCACUACAUGAACCAACUCAAAUGUAACUAUUUUUGGCCUUUUGUUAUAAAUAACACAAGAACCCUCAGUCUUUGUUACAUAAUGUCCUAACAGAGUAGGGGAAAUGCUCCCCAAUCCGGUGCAAUGUCCUGUGCCCAGGGAAACCAAUU
rnacentral:lncRNA from 10 species